rnacentral:tRNA from 1 species
GUGCCGGCGCUGUGGCUGCCGAUGGCGCUGAUCGCGUCGGCGCGGGCGCGGUGGCUGCCGAUGGCGCUGAUCGCGUCGGUGCCGGCGCA